UCGAUUCCCUUAGUAGCGGCGAGCGAAACGGGAAGAGCCCAAACCAACAAGCUUGCUUGUUGGGGUUGUAGGACACUCUAUACGGAGUUACAAAGGACGACAUUAGACGAAUCAUCUGGAAAGAUGAAUCAAAGAAGGUAAUAAUCCUGUAGUCGAAAAUGUUGUCUCUCUUGAGUGGAUCCUGAGUACGACGGAGCACGUGAAAUUCCGUCGGAAUCUGGGAGGACCAUCUCCUAAGGCUAAAUACUCUCUAGUGACCGAUAGUGAACCAGUACCGUGAGGGAAAGGUGAAAAGCACCCCGGAAGGGGAGUGAAAUAGAACCUGAAACCGUGUGCUUACAAGUAGUCAGAGCCCGUUAAUGGGUGAUGGCGUGCCUUUUGUAGAAUGAACCGGCGAGUUACGAUUUGAUGCAAGGUUAAGCAGUAAAUGUGGAGCCGUAGCGAAAGCGAGUCUGAAUAGGGCGUUUAGUAUUUGGUCGUAGACCCGAAACCAGGUGAUCUACCCUUGGUCAGGUUGAAGUUCAGGUAACACUGAAUGGAGGACCGAACCGACUUACGUUGAAAAGUGAGCGGAUGAACUGAGGGUAGCGGAGAAAUUCCAAUCGAACCUGGAGAUAGCUGGUUCUCUCCGAAAUAGCUUUAGGGCUAGCCUCAAGUGAUGAUUAUUGGAGGUAGAGCACUGUUUGGACGAGGGGCCCCUCUCGGGUUACCGAAUUCAGACAAACUCCGAAUGCCAAUUAAUUUAACUUGGGAGUCAGAACAUGGGUGAUAAGGUCCGUGUUCGAAAGGGAAACAGCCCAGACCACCAGCUAAGGUCCCAAAAUAUAUGUUAAGUGGAAAAGGAUGUGGCGUUGCCCAGACAACUAGGAUGUUGGCUUAGAAGCAGCCAUCAUUUAAAGAGUGCGUAAUAGCUCACUAGUCGAGUGACACUGCGCCGAAAAUGUACCGGGGCUAAACAUAUUACCGAAGCUGUGGAUUGUCCUUUGGACAAUGGUAGGAGAGCGUUCUAAGGGCGUUGAAGCAUGAUCGUAAGGACAUGUGGAGCGCUUAGAAGUGAGAAUGCCGGUGUGAGUAGCGAAAGACGGGUGAGAAUCCCGUCCACCGAUUGACUAAGGUUUCCAGAGGAAGGCUCGUCCGCUCUGGGUUAGUCGGGUCCUAAGCUGAGGCCGACAGGCGUAGGCGAUGGAUAACAGGUUGAUAUUCCUGUACCACCUAUAAUCGUUUUAAUCGAUGGGGGGACGCAGUAGGAUAGGCGAAGCGUGCGAUUGGAUUGCACGUCUAAGCAGUAAGGCUGAGUAUUAGGCAAAUCCGGUACUCGUUAAGGCUGAGCUGUGAUGGGGAGAAGACAUUGUGUCUUCGAGUCGUUGAUUUCACACUGCCGAGAAAAGCCUCUAGAUAGAAA
rnacentral:rRNA from 1 species